rnacentral:rRNA from 1 species
UACGUAGGGUGCGAGCGUUGUCCGGAAUUAUUGGGCGUAAAGAGCUCGUAGGCGGUCUGUCGCGUCGAUCGUGAAAACUUGGGGCUUAACCAUGAGCUUGCGGUCGAUACGGGCAUGACUGGAGUUCGGCAGGGGAGACUGGAAUUCCUGGUGUAGCGGUGAAAUGCGCAGAUAUCAGGAGGAACACCGGUGGCGAAGGCGGGUCUCUGGGCCGAUACUGACGCUGAGGAGCGAAAGCGUGGGGAGCGAACAGG